GCAGACACAUUCCAGCCAAUCAGCAGCAGAUUCUCCCUCCCAAACCCUCCCACCUCCUGGACAGCAUCCAUUGUGAAGCUGCAUUCUUAGUGAGCUGUCCAGGAGGUGGGAGGGUCUGGGAGAGAGGAUCUGCUGCUGAUUGGCUGGAAUGUGUCUG